rnacentral:sRNA from 1 species
UGUUAUCAGCAACACAACGGCUUCGAGA